GUUGAGCCCGAACAAUGUUGCCAUAGAGAGGGCCGCUCAUUUUCCCACCAAAAAACGUCUAUGUAGAAGCCAAGCCAUCAACAACGCUCCUCUCUUUCUUUCUCUCUUAAAGAUUUUGAAAUUGGUUGUUAGCGGGUUAAGAUGAUGAAUCAGAUAGAAGAUGACAACAGUUCAGUUGAUUUUGACAUGCAACUGAUAGGGAAUUUCUUGAGUUUCGCAUCAAGGGGCGAUAGGGUUGGGCUGAACCAGAUGUUGAGGGCUGGUACUUCUCCGAAUGUGCAAGACUAUGACAAACGGACUGCUUUGCAUCUUGCAGCCAGUGAGGGCCAUGCUCCUAUUGUUGAGCUUCUUCUUCACUACAAAGCUAAUGUCAAUCUCAAGGACCGCUGGCAACGAACUCCCUUGACAGAUGCGAGACUGUAUGGACAUCGGGAUAUAUGUAGAAUCCUAGAAGUACAUGGAGGCAAGGAUUUUAUCAACGAUCAACCAAUGACUGUUAGACAUGAACAAGACUCCGAUGAACUGAACUUUGAUAUUUCAGAACUGAACACAGAGCGGUCAUCAACAGUUGAACAGGGCGUCUUUGGUGAAUCAGUCAAGGUCAAGUGGCGUGGAACAUGGGUUGUUAAAACUGUUAUUAGGAGUCAGAUUUACCAUCCUGUAAAAAUGUGUGCUAACUAUACCUUCCCUUUACUUCUUUUUUGUUUAAAUUAUUUUCUUUACUCCAUUAUGAUCAAGGAUAAGAAUCAAUUUGUGCAAUUCCAGGCUAUGAGAAAAUUUCUUCUUGAGCAUAAUGCAGGAAAUUAUCUGCUAAGGAUAACACUCGAUUGCGAGAACUUCGACAUCCUAAUAUUUUGCAGUUUCUUGGUUCAAUUGUUCAUGGAGAGGAGAUGGUUCUGAUCACAGAGUAUCUAUCAAAAGGGAAUUUAGAAGAUAUAUUGUGCCGAAAAGGUCGACUUGACCUACCUGCGGCUCUUCGCUAUGCACUUGACAUUGCCAAGUAAUUUGGUUUUGUUGCUCUGCAUUCAUGUUAUAGAGAUUGCUUGACCAGUGUUGAAACUUUUAAACCAAAUCGUGUAUCUCAUAUAUUCAAUAUCUGCUUUCUUUGUAUUGAACAAGCAUUUUAUUUUCAUCCUAUCAAUUUUAUCCGCACACAAUAAAUGAAAGACAAGAAAAAGAGAAAGAAAAGAAGGCAAAAGGGAAGAGAUUUUCUGAUAGACACUUUCUGGUCCAAAAAUUCUCUUAAAACCAAGGUUCAUUUUCUUUUAUCAUGUUUACCUCACCAUCAGGCAGUGUUUACUUUGAGAGAAUUUUCUCAUUGCAGUUGUGUAUAAUUAUGAUCACAUAUAGUUUUGACACCUAAUAAUUUAGCCACAGACAUUACUUCAUAAUGUCCUUUUCAUUUUGUAGUUGCUCCAUAUUGUCAUCUACAUUGACAAAUAUUAUCUUCAAUUAUGUUAAUUAGCGAUAUUCUUUAAAUGUAAAUAAUACAUGGAUUAGACCUUGCUCAGAGAAAACAAAGUCCUUAUGACCCAUCUUCUGUCUAUAUCAAGUACCAUGACAUUCUGCAAUUUCAAGUUAUCUCAAUUAUUAAUUGCUUUUUCCCUUUUGCUUAUCUUUUUGGGGUUAGAGACCAAAAAUGGAUUUGCUUUAAUGCCUAAGAUGAUUGGCAGGGGAAUGAAUUAUCUUCAUGAGCACAAGCCCUUACCCAUAGUGCACAAUCAUUUGGAUCCCAGAAACUUGUUACAGGAUGAAGCUGACCACUUGAAGAUUGGUGAAUAUUGGGUUCAAAUAUUCUAUGAACAAAUUCAUCCUAAUCAAGACAUGUGUAUGUUAUCACCAUCUUGUUGUUUGCCAGCCACACAUUUAAUAUUGCUACUGCAUCUUAAGAAUCCUUUUAAUUUUCAAAGGCCAAAAAAAGGAUGAUCCCAGCGGUACCAGCAUUUACCAAUCAAAUGACACCAAGAAAGAUAUUUACAGAUUUGGGCUCAUAUUUUAUCAGAUGUUAGAGGGAAGACACCUGACUGACAUGAACUUUGACUUCGUAAAUCUCAAAUCUGUCAAUUUUGAACCAAAGUUUCAGAUCAGCCGUUGUCCUAAAAGAAUUCAACAGCUGAUAGAGGAUUGCACAAGCAAAGAUGUUGAAUCAAGGCCUUCAUUUUCUGCUGUCAUACAUAUCUUAGAAGAAGUUUCGAUGAGUCUAGGGAGAGCCACAUGCCCCGUCUGUUGAAUUCAUAAUGGAAGUCAAAUUGAUAAUUGCACAUGCUCAAUCUCUAAUAAAAUAAUUUUACAAUGUGGAAUGAACGGUAAUACUGCCAGGUUAAAAAGUGUUGCAGCUUGAAAAAGCACUAGUUGCUUGUACAGUCUGCAAUAAUUUGUUGUACAAUUCUCUAUAUGCUACACUUUUGACAGUAACAUUAUCCUUUAAGAGAGUGUCUUCUCUCAUAAUGCCAGCUAUCAAAAC
rnacentral:misc_RNA from 1 species